UUGACGGCGGGGUAACGGCCCACCGUGGCAUCGAUCGGUAGGGGUUCUGAGAGGAAGGUCCCCCACAUUGGAACUGAGACACGGUCCAAACUCCUACGGGAGGCAGCAGUGAGGAAUAUUGGUCAAUGGGCGGAAGCCUGAACCAGCCAAGUAGCGUGAAGGACGACUGCCCUAUGGGUUGUAAACUUCUUUUAUGCGGGGAUAAAGUUCGCCACGUGUGGCGUUCUGCAGGUACCGCAUGAAUAAGGACCGGCUAAUUCCGUGCCAGCAGCCGCGGUAAUACGGAAGGUCCAGGCGCUAUCCGGAUUCAUUGGGUUUAAAGGGAGCGUAGGCCGCCUUUUAAGCGUGUUGUGAAAUGUAGGGGCUCAACCCCUGCACUGCAGCGCGAACUGGAGGGCUUGAGUACACACAAAGUAGGCGGAAUUCAUGGUGUAGCGGUGAAAUGCUUAGAUAUCAUGAAGAACCCCGAUUGCGAAGGCAGCUUACUGGAGUGUAACUGACGCUGAAGCUCGAAAGCGCGGGUAUCGAACAGGAUUAGAUACCCUGGUAGUCCGCGCGGUAAACGAUGGAUGCCCGCUGUUUGCCAAUUUGGUAAGCGGCCAAGCGAAAGCGUUAAGCAUCCCACCUGGGG
rnacentral:rRNA from 1 species